AUUGAACGCUGGCGGCAGGCCUAACACAUGCAAGUCGAACGAGUGGCGGACGGGUGAGUAAUGUCUGGGAAACUGCCCGAUGGAGGGGGAUAACUCCUGGAAACGGUAGCUAAUACCGCAUACCAUCGGAUGUGCCCAGAUGGGAUUAGCUAGUAGGUGGGGUAACGUCUCACGUAGGCGACGAUCCCUAGCUGGUCUGAGAGGAUGACCAGCCAAACUGGAACUGAGACGCGGUGCAGACUCGUACGGGAGACAGCAGUGGGGAAUAUUGCACAAUGGGCACAAGUCUGAGGCAGCCAAUCCGCAUGUAUGAAGUAGGCCUUCGGAUUGUAAAGUACUUUCAGCGAGCAGGCGUUACUCGCAGAAGAAGCACCGGCUAACUCCGUGCCAGCAGCCGGAGUAAUAC
rnacentral:rRNA from 1 species